rnacentral:rRNA from 1 species
CUAAUUCCCCAUAAUAUUCGGAGAGGCAUCUCUCCGGGUUGAAAUCUCCGGUGGUUAUAGAUGGACAUGCGUUGUAUUAGCUAGUUGGUGAGGUAACGGCUCACCAAGGCAACGAUACAUAGGGGGACUGAGAGGUUAACCCCCCACACUGGUACUGGGACACGGACCAGACUCCUACGGGAGGCAGCAGUGAGGAAUAUUGGUCAAUGGACGCAAGUCUGAACCAGCCAUGCCGCGUGCAGGAAGACGGCUCUAUGAGUUGUAAACUGCUUUUGUACGAGGGUAAACUCACCUACGUGUAGGUGACUGAAAGUAUCGUACGAAUAAGGAUCGGCUAACUCCGUGCCAGCAGCCGCGGUAAUACGGAGGAUUCAAGCGUUAUCCGGAUUUAUUGGGUUUAAAGGGUGCGUAGGCGGUUUGAUAAGUUAGAGGUGAAAUCCCGGGGCUUAACUCCGGAACUGCCUCUAAUACUGUUAGACUAGAGAGUAGUUGCGGUAGGCGGAAUGUAUGGUGUAGCGGUGAAAUGCUUAGAGAUCAUACAGAACACCGAUUGCGAAGGCAGCUUACCAAACUAUAUCUGACGUUGAGGCACGAAAGCGUGGGGAGCAAACAGGAUUAGAUACCCUGGUAGUCCACGCAGUAAAC